UACGUAGGGGGCUAGCGUUGUCCGGAUUUAUUGGGCGUAAAGAGCGUGUAGGCGGCCAGGUAGGUCCGUUGUGAAAACUCGAGGCUCAACCUCGAGACGUCGGCGGAAACCCUCUGGCUAGAGUCCGGAAGAGGAGAGUGGAAUUCCUGGUGUAGCGGUGAAAUGCGCAGAUAUCAGGAAGAACACCCGUGGCGAAGGCGGCUCUCUGGGACGGUACUGACGCUGAGGAGCGAAAGCGUGGGGAGCGAACAGG
rnacentral:rRNA from 1 species